UCCGGUUUGUCACCGGCAGUCUCCUUAGAGUGCCCAACUAAAUGCUGGCAACUAAGGACAAGGGUUGCGCUCGUCGCGGGACUUAACCCAACAUCUCACGACACGAGCUGACGACAGCCAUGCACCACCUGUGCACCGGCCCCGAAGGGCUGCCGUAUUUCUACGACAUUCCAGUGCAUGUCAAGCCUUGGUAAGGUUCUUCGCGUUGCGUCGAAUUAAACCACAUGCUCCGCUGCUUGUGCGGGCCCCCGUCAAUUCCUUUGAGUUUCACCCUUGCGAGCGUACUCCCCAGGCGGCAUACUUAAUGCGUUAGCUCCGAUACAGAAAGGGUUGAGCCUCCCUACAUCUAGUAUGCAUCGUUUAAGGCUAGGACUAC
rnacentral:misc_RNA from 1 species